CCUACGGGAGGCAGCAGUGGGGAAUAUUGCACAAUGGGGGAAACCCUGAUGCAGCAACGCCGCGUGAGUGAAGAAGUAUUUCGGUAUGUAAAGCUCUAUCAGCAGGGAAGAGAAUGACGGUACCUGACUACUAAGCCACGGCCAACUACGUGCCAGCAGCCGCGGUAAUACGCAGGGGGCAAGCGUUAUCCGGAUUUACUGGGUGUAAAGGGAGCGUAGACGGCUGUACAAGUCUGGAGUGAAAGCCCGUGGCUCAACCGCGGAACUGCUUUGGAAACUGUAAAGCUGGAGUACUGGAGAGGCGGGCAGAAUUCCUAGUGUAGCGGUGAAAUGCGUAGAGAUUAGGAGGAACAC
rnacentral:rRNA from 1 species